rnacentral:misc_RNA from 1 species
AACGCAAAUUGCACUCUCUGGUAUUCCGGGGAGUAUGCCUGUUUGAGGGUCAGUUUUAACAAAAAUCGAGGUGUCGCCUUUUGUGACGCAUCGGAAUUGGGACGUCUUGAUCCGUUUGGAUCAAGAGACCUAAAAUUGAUACCUUGUGCAUCUCAGACGUACAUAAGAAAUUUUUUUUUUUAUCCGUCCCGGGUGCCAAUUUUUAUUAGGUAUGACCAUCGUUAAUUCUUGUGGCAUUGUACCUAUAAUAAUUAUACUCAUAUUUUGACCUCAAAUCAGGUAGGAGUACCCGCUGAACUUAA